GCUCAUUUGAGGAGAGCUCUUUCCCUUCCAUCUCCCAAGACGACGUGUUUCAGAAAAUAUCUGAGACCAGAUCUGAACAUAUGCCUUCUGGACUGCAGACCGGGAGCUCUAUCCCCUGAGCAAUACUGCCUCUAUUUUCAUCAUUCUUAUGACAGUCC
rnacentral:lncRNA from 1 species